rnacentral:lncRNA from 1 species
ACUGGAUAGCCUGAGUGACCGUCGGGACAGCGGGGCCAUCUGCUGCUGAAACAGCGGAGCUGAAAAAGGAUACGCAUCUAGCCUCUACGCUGCAUGAAAAGCUCACUAGACGGUGAAUCCGGAGGGAUCCGCAGCCCAAGGUCGCGCCCGAGCCCCACAUCCUGGAAUCUUCUACAUUCACAAUCUGACUUCUCUUGUCACAACCUCCAGUCUCCUGGUCCCACAGUCUGGGGUCUCACAGCUUGCCUGAGGUGUCCAGCCGCCGCGCCGGCGGAUGUACUGCAUCCGAGAUGGGCAUUUUCUCUCCCAAGCUCCACACAAGCAAGAAUUUUGUCGUUUUUUUUUUUUUUUUUUCCGUAGCUGAAAUGGAUCGGCACAUUUCUGUGUCAUUCUUACGAAACAGAUACAACUUCCUGGUUCCACCUCCUGUAAAAUCGUGGCUGUUGAAUGGCUUAGAGUUCCGAAGAUGUGCGAGCACACGAUACCCACCCAGGCCACCAGUUCUGUUCCUAGGAGUGUGGAUGGUACCUAAUCCUUUCACAGCCUUCUGGCUGACAUUUUCUACACAGUGAAUGGGAGUUGCUUUUUUUUUCCAUGCUGCUUUUUCUACGUCUGAGUUUCUUGGACACUUUCCAGCUGCACACCAAAACAGCUUCCUUGUUUGUCUAGACCGUCGGUAAUUGACUCAAGCCGUCCCCCUUGGAAGCCAUGCACCGGACUUUCCUUGCAUUGUGUAUAAGAGUGCUUGCGUAGAUUCCUAGAAGUGGAUGAACCAGCCAAGCAGCUAUGUGCCUGGGGCGAUGUUGAUAGCUGUUGGCCGGCUGCCAUCUUGGAAGCUGGAUCGAUUGCUCAGCUCUCUCUGCUAGAGCGAGAGUGUGUGAAUAGGCCUUCUGCGCCACAGUAGACAGCCUGUCAGUCAGGCUGACAGCUGACCAAUGGGAGUUCACUAUUGUUUCCUUGUGGCUUGUGAGAUGGCUCGUAUUUUCAAUUUCUCUUGCAAUAACUUUUCUGCUUCAUACACACACACACACACACACACACACACACACACACACACACCAGCAGAAAGGUGGUGUGUUUAAUCCCAACACUCAGGAGGCAGAGGUCAGGUGGAUUUCUGUAAAUUCCAGGGCAGCCUGAUCUACAGAGUAAGUUCCAGGGCUACACAGAAACCAUGUCUUGAAAAAACCUAAAUAAAUAAACCCAAAGAAGAAGAAGGGGGGAGGAUGUCUCUGUGAGUUCAAGGCCAGCCAGAAGUUCACUGUGAGAUCCUGUCUCUAAAAAAUAAAAACAAUAAGUUAAAGAAA